rnacentral:rRNA from 1 species
GAUCCUGGCUCAGAAUCAACGCUGGCGGCGUGCCUAACACAUGCAAGUCGAACGAGAAAGUGUAGCAAUMCAUGAGUAAAGUGGCGCACGGGUGAGUAACACGUGACUAACCUACCCUGGAGUGGGGGAUAACUGAGGGAAACCUUAGCUAAUACCGCAUAAUACCUACGGGUCAAAGGAGCAAUUCGCUUGAGGAGGGGGUCGCGGCCGAUUAGUUAGUUGGCGGGGUAAUGGCCCACCAAGACARUGAUCGGUAUCCGGCCUGAGAGGGCGCACGGACACACUGGAACUGAAACACGGUCCAGACUCCUACGGGAGGCAGCAG